ACUGUGACCAAUAGGAGAAGCUAAUUCAUGGUGGUGAGGAUAACUAAAGUACUGAUCUUCACCGUUGAUAAACCUUAAUCUAAUGGAUAUAAUUUAUUCACUUAUUUUUUAUAUCUCUUUCUUCUCCUUAUCCCGACUUUUGCAAUCUUCUUUUUUCAUGGAUCUCAAACUAAACUUCUCCCUCUCACGACCUUCUCACAACCGUCAGACGUCACACGUCACACGUCACCACCACAACCAUCGUUCGUCACAACCAUCACCGUCCGACACCACCAUCACAAUGGGUUGGAGGAAGCAAGGCGUGCGGCGGAGACCAAGCGAAGUGGUGGAACAGAGAAAAUAUAUAGAGCUCGGAGAUGCAGAGAAAGAAGAAGACGCGACGGUCGGUCUCUAGCUCGUUCACGUCCUCACCAGCAGCAGCACCACUACCACCACCGACGGUGGUAGAAGAAGAGGAAGCUACGGGACAGUGGUUGAAGUCUUGAAGACCUUAACGGGACAGUGGUUGAAGUCUUGAAGACCUUGACGAUGGAAGAAGAAGAGGAAGCUACGGCGGCUGGAGUUUUUUCUUAGGUUUACAGUAUUUUUUUUAGGUUUGGUUUAAUGUGUUUUAGUUAGUGUAUGGUUUAAUUUGUUCUGGUUUAGUUAAUUUUUUUAAUUUUGGUUUAGUUUUGUAAAACUAAUUUUAUUGUAAACUGAUUUUAAUUAAUAAAUAAAUUUUUAUUUUAA